rnacentral:rRNA from 1 species
CCUACGGGUGGCAGCAGUGAGGAAUAUUGGUCAAUGGGCGGGAGCCUGAACCAGCCAAGCCGCGUGCGGGAAGAAGGUACAGCGUAUCGUAAACCUCUUUUGUCAGGGGACAAAGGCGGGGACUAGUCCCCGGAUGAGGGUACCUGACGAACAAGCAUCGGCUAACUCCGUGCCAGCAGCCGCGGUAAUACGGAGGAUGCGAGCGUUAUCCGGAUUUAUUGGGUUUAAAGGGUGCGCAGGCGGCCGGUUAAGUCAGCGGUAAAAGCGCGGGGCUCAACCCCGUCGAGCAGUUGAAACUGGCGGGCUGGAGUGGGAGAGAGGUACGCGGAAGGCGCGGUGUAGCGGUGAAAUGCUUAGAUAUCGCGCAGAACCCCGAUUGCGAAGGCAGCGUACCGGCGCCACACUGACGCUGAGGCACGAAAGUGUGGGUAUCGAACAGGAUUAGAUACCCCAGUAGUC